AUCGCUUCUUGGCCUUUUGGCUAAGAUUAAGUGUAGUAUCUGUUCUUAUCAGUUUAAUAUAAAUUAAAUGACCACAUAAAGUUUCUUGCAUUAUUCGCAUCAACUGAAAAUAUAAUGUGAGAAGUUAUAACAAAGACAUUUUAUGCAAAAUCACA
rnacentral:snRNA from 1 species